GGGUUGUGAGGUUAAGCGACUAAGCGUACACGGUGGAUGCCCUGGCAGUCAGAGGCGAUGAAGGACGUGCUAAUCUGCGAUAAGCGUCGGUGAGGUGAUAUGAACCGUUAUAACCGGCGAUUUCCGAAUGGGGAAACCCAGUGUGUUUCGACACACUAUCAUUAACUGAAUCCAUAGGUUAAUGAGGCGAACCGGGGGAACUGAAACAUCUAAGUACCCCGAGGAAAAGAAAUCAACCGAGAUUCCCCCAGUAGCGGCGAGCGAACGGGGAGGAGCCCAGAGCCUGAAUCAGUGUGUGUGUUAGUGGAAGCGUCUGGAAAGGCGCGCGAUACAGGGUGACAGCCCCGUACACAAAAAUGCACAUAUUGUGAGCUCGAUGAGUAGGGCGGGACACGUGGUAUCCUGUCUGAAUAUGGGGGGACCAUCCUCCAAGGCUAAAUACUCCUGACUGACCGAUAGUGAACCAGUACCGUGAGGGAAAGGCGAAAAGAACCCCGGCGAGGGGAGUGAAAAAGAACCUGAAACCGUGUACGUACAAGCAGUGGGAGCCUCUUUAUGGGGUGACUGCGUACCUUUUGUAUAAUGGGUCAGCGACUUAUAUUCUGUAGCAAGGUUAACCGAAUAGGGGAGCCGAAGGGAAACCGAGUCUUAACUGGGCGUUAAGUUGCAGGGUAUAGACCCGAAACCCGGUGAUCUAGCCAUGGGCAGGUUGAAGGUUGGGUAACACUAACUGGAGGACCGAACCGACUAAUGUUGAAAAAUUAGCGGAUGACUUGUGGCUGGGGGUGAAAGGCCAAUCAAACCGGGAGAUAGCUGGUUCUCCCCGAAAGCUAUUUAGGUAGCGCCUCGUGAAUUCAUCUCCGGGGGUAGAGCACUGUUUCGGCAAGGGGGUCAUCCCGACUUACCAACCCGAUGCAAACUGCGAAUACCGGAGAAUGUUAUCACGGGAGACACACGGCGGGUGCUAACGUCCGUCGUGAAGAGGGAAACAACCCAGACCGCCAGCUAAGGUCCCAAAGUCAUGGUUAAGUGGGAAACGAUGUGGGAAGGCCCAGACAGCCAGGAUGUUGGCUUAGAAGCAGCCAUCAUUUAAAGAAAGCGUAAUAGCUCACUGGUCGAGUCGGCCUGCGCGGAAGAUGUAACGGGGCUAAACCAUGCACCGAAGCUGCGGCAGCGACACUAUGUGUUGUUGGGUAGGGGAGCGUUCUGUAAGCCUGUGAAGGUGGCCUGUGAGGGUUGCUGGAGGUAUCAGAAGUGCGAAUGCUGACAUAAGUAACGAUAAAGCGGGUGAAAAGCCCGCUCGCCGGAAGACCAAGGGUUCCUGUCCAACGUUAAUCGGGGCAGGGUGAGUCGACCCCUAAGGCGAGGCCGAAAGGCGUAGUCGAUGGGAAACAGGUUAAUAUUCCUGUACUUGGUGUUACUGCGAAGGGGGGACGGAGAAGGCUAUGUUGGCCGGGCGACGGUUGUCCCGGUUUAAGCGUGUAGGCUGGUUUUCCAGGCAAAUCCGGAAAACCAAGGCUGAGGCGUGAUGACGAGGCACUACGGUGCUGAAGCGACAAAUGCCCUGCUUCCAGGAAAAGCCUCUAAGCAUCAGGUAACAUCAAAUCGUACCCCAAACCGACACAGGUGGUCAGGUAGAGAAUACCAAGGCGCUUGAGAGAACUCGGGUGAAGGAACUAGGCAAAAUGGUGCCGUAACUUCGGGAGAAGGCACGCUGAUAUGUAGGUGAAGCGACUUGCUCGUGGAGCUGAAAUCAGUCGAAGAUACCAGCUGGCUGCAACUGUUUAUUAAAAACACAGCACUGUGCAAACACGAAAGUGGACGUAUACGGUGUGACGCCUGCCCGGUGCCGGAAGGUUAAUUGAUGGGGUUAGCGGCAACGCGAAGCUCUUGAUCGAAGCCCCGGUAAACGGCGGCCGUAACUAUAACGGUCCUAAGGUAGCGAAAUUCCUUGUCGGGUAAGUUCCGACCUGCACGAAUGGCGUAAUGAUGGCCAGGCUGUCUCCACCCGAGACUCAGUGAAAUUGAACUCGCUGUGAAGAUGCAGUGUACCCGCGGCAAGACGGAAAGACCCCGUGAACCUUUACUAUAGCUUGACACUGAACAUUGAGCCUUGAUGUGUAGGAUAGGUGGGAGGCUUUGAAGUGUGGACGCCAGUCUGCAUGGAGCCGACCUUGAAAUACCACCCUUUAAUGUUUGAUGUUCUAACGUUGGCCCGUAAUCCGGGUUGCGGACAGUGUCUGGUGGGUAGUUUGACUGGGGCGGUCUCCUCCUAAAGAGUAACGGAGGAGCACGAAGGUUGGCUAAUCCUGGUCGGACAUCAGGAGGUUAGUGCAAUGGCAUAAGCCAGCUUGACUGCGAGCGUGACGGCGCGAGCAGGUGCGAAAGCAGGUCAUAGUGAUCCGGUGGUUCUGAAUGGAAGGGCCAUCGCUCAACGGAUAAAAGGUACUCCGGGGAUAACAGGCUGAUACCGCCCAAGAGUUCAUAUCGACGGCGGUGUUUGGCACCUCGAUGUCGGCUCAUCACAUCCUGGGGCUGAAGUAGGUCCCAAGGGUAUGGCUGUUCGCCAUUUAAAGUGGUACGCGAGCUGGGUUUAGAACGUCGUGAGACAGUUCGGUCCCUAUCUGCCGUGGGCGCUGGAGAACUGAGGGGGGCUGCUCCUAGUACGAGAGGACCGGAGUGGACGCAUCACUGGUGUUCGGGUUGUCAUGCCAAUGGCACUGCCCGGUAGCUAAAUGCGGAAGAGAUAAGUGCUGAAAGCAUCUAAGCACGAAACUUGCCCCGAGAUGAGUUCUCCCUGAGACUUAGAGUCUCCUGAAGGAACGUUGAAGACGACGACGUUGAUAGGCCGGGUGUGUAAGCGCAGCGAUGCGUUGAGCUAACCGGUACUAAUGAACCGUGAGGCUUAACCUUACAACGCCGAAG
rnacentral:rRNA from 1 species